UACGUAGGGUGCAAGCGUUAAUCGGAAUUACUGGGCGUAAAGCGUGCGCAGGCGGUUAUGUAAGACAGGUGUGAAAUCCCCGGGCUUAACCCUGGGAACUGCAUUUGUGACUGCAUAGCUAGAGUACGGUAGAGGGGGAUGGAAUUCCGCGUGUAGCAGUGAAAUGCGUAGAGAUCCGGAAGAACACCGGUGGCGAAGGCGGCCUGCUGGGACAAUGCUGACGCUGAGGCGCGACAGCGUGGGGAGCAAACAGG
rnacentral:rRNA from 1 species